rnacentral:lncRNA from 1 species
ACGGAACACAGGUUCCAUCCACCACCACAUAUCGUGCCUUUCGCCUUUCCCCUGUGUCCUUCCUGUCUCCACGUGGCCUUGGCCUCUGCCCUUCAGGUGACCCUGGAGAAUUGCUCCGCAGAGACGGACACUCACUGUGGCUGCCAGUCAGGCUGGUGUGUUGACUGCUCCACCGAGCCGUGUGGGAAAAGCUCACCUUUCUCUUGUACCCCCUGCUCAAGCUACGAACCUACAACAUACCGGCCCUGCCCGCCUGGCUUCUACAUACACGGCAAUGGCUGCGCGUCCUGCCCCACUGUUCUGGGUCCAGGUGCUUCUAGGGGCCUCGUUCCUUCUUGGGACUGUCCUGAUCUGUGCAUACUGUCGGUGGCAGCCUUGUAAGCCCGUGGUCACUGCAGACAUAGCUGGGAUGGAGACCCUGGCCUCACCACAGACUACCCAUUUCUCAGCAUCAGACAGCGCCCACACCCUCCUGCCACCCCCAGGCAGUACUGGGAAAGUCUGCACCACUGUCCAGUUGGUAGGCAACAACUGGACCCCCGGUUUAUCCCAGACUGAGGAGGUGGUCUGCAGGCAGGCCUCACAACCCUGG